AACGCACGAGACCUGCGGACCUGCGGAGGGAUCAUUACCGAGUUAUCCAACUCCCAACCCCUGUGAAUUAUACCUCUAAUUGUUGCUUCGGCGGGACUUCGCGCCCGCCGGGGACCCAAACCUUCUGAAUUUUUUAAUAAGUAUCUUCUGAGUGGUUAAAAAAAUGAAUCAAAACUUUUAACAAUGGAUCUCU
rnacentral:misc_RNA from 1 species